rnacentral:rRNA from 1 species
CUACGGAUGGUGCGAGCGUUGUUCGGAAUUACUGGGCGUAAAGGGCGCGUAGGCGGCGAUGUAAGUCAAAUGUGAAAGUCCUCGGCUUAACCGGGGAAGUGCAUCUGAAACUGCAUUGCUUGAGUAUGGGAGAGGAAAGUGGAAUUCCCGGUGUAGAGGUGAAAUUCGUAGAGAUCGGGAGGAAUACCGGUGGCGAAGGCGACUUUCUGGACCAAUACUGACGCUGAGGCGCGAAAGCGUGGGGAGCAAACAGGAUUAGAUACCCUAGUAGUCC